rnacentral:rRNA from 1 species
AUGUCGUCUGUUAUACCUAGCGAGGUUGAUCCAUUAGACUAUGUGUACACAAACAUACCGGACAACACCCACAUCCUGAAGCUCGACGCAAACUGCAAACACUGCAAGGCCAGAAAGUUUGUGUCUGAGACUGACGGAUUCUGCUGUCGUAAUGGACAGACCGAGCUUAAACAACCGGAACCAAUCCCAGAGCUUAUGAGGCUAUGGUCCAGCAUGGAUGCAGAUUCUAGACAUUUUCGUGAGAACAUACGGUUCUUCAACGGGCAUUUCGCCUUCACAACCCUUGGCCUCAACCUUGAUGAGAACUACACAAACAUGAAGUCUGGGGUGUACACAUUCCGGGCACACGGAACCAUCUACCACAAUGUGCAUUCUUUCGGGCCUAGCUCACGUCCAGAACAUCUGCAGUUGUACUUCUAUGAUGACGACCCAACCAUAACUCAUCGUAAGGAGGCCACUAAGCAAUUAGACCAAGAUGUCGUGAAGAAGUUAGUA